rnacentral:lncRNA from 1 species
AAAAAUUUGUUUGCAAAGAUACAUCAUCCCAAAAAUAGAGAUAAAUAGUUCAUAUGGCGGGCCGGACAAAAUCUGUCCGCGGGCCGUAGUUUGGAGACCCCUGAUUUAAUGUUUUACACAAUCACUUUUUUUGAAUGGUGCAUUUUUUCUUUCAUUUUAGAAAUUUUUUGAUUAUUUUGCAACUCUUCUUUCUGACUGUAAUCAACAAUGCAUAGCUACUGUGCAUUGUAGCUGUGUAUAAUUUUCCUCAAACCCAUUGUCUCUCAUCUGAUCUAUUAUGAAAUCAAACAAAUGAUUAAUCUAUGGAAAAUAUUCUUUAUUCCCUUAUUGUCCUAUAUAUAAUCUAUAUUAGGUCAAGACAAUAUGAGGAUGAAAAAAUUUUCUAUUCGUUUUUCUGAAUUUCCUUUACAUUCAAAUGAGCAUUAUAAAGCCAUGUAUUAUUAUGGUGAAAAAUAACUCAUCUUCCCUAAUGUUUUUCGCUAGAGGCAUGACAAAGCUUCUGGAUGGUUUUAAUCUAUUGAUUGGCAUUAAUGAUUUCACUAGGCAUCAAAAAUUUACAAGAAUGGAACAUUCCAUAUCCUAAAAGAGUCCCCAUAAUUUUGGAAGUUGAAGUCAUAAAUUUUUGUUUCUGGAUAAUAUUGAGUGAUGCCAUUUCAUGUUUUAGGUUCAAAAUGAUAAAACCAACUUUCAUUAACUGUAAUAAUAUUGAACAGAAAAUUUCAUCUUUGACAAAAAACCUUUAAAGAAGUUUGUGAAAAGUCAUUUUUGCAUUGAGUUUUUGACAGUAAUUGAGUCUCAAUUGAUACAAAUUUUACAGUAUCUCAGAUUUCUUGCUAUCAGUUUGACCUGCACAAUGUCCUAUUUUUGCAGUCAACAGAUAACUUUGCUGCAGUUUCUUUCAUUGGCAUACUAGACUCUCUUUGAUACAGGGUUGGGGAGCUGGAGCUAGAGUCAGAGCCCGGAGCCAUGGAACCAGGGAGUUUUGGAGGAGCUAGAGCUAAUCUGAUCAUAUUCAGUGCAGCCAGAGCCAGAGCCAUUA